ACUCCUACGGGAGGCAGCAGUAGGGAAUCUUCCACAAUGGGCGCAAGCCUGAUGGAGCAACACCGCGUGAGUGAAGAAGGGUUUCGGCUCGUAAAGCUCUGUUGUUAAAGAAGAACACGUAUGAGAGUAACUGUUCAUACGUUGACGGUAUUUAACCAGAAAGUCACGGCUAACUACGUGCCAGCAGCCGCGGUAAUACGUAGGUGGCAAGCGUUAUCCGGAUUUAUUGGGCGUAAAGAGAGUGCAGGCGGUUUUCUAAGCCUGAUGUGAAAGCCUUCGGCUUAACCGGAGAAGUGCAUCGGAAACUGGAUAACUUGAGUGCAGAAGAGGGUAGUGGAACUCCAUGUGUAGCGGUGGAAUGCGUAGAUAUAUGGAAGAACACCAGUGGCGAAGGCGGCUACCUGGUCUGCAACUGACGCUGAGACUCGAAAGCAUGGGUAGCGAACAGGAUUAGAUACCCUGGUAGGAUAGCG
rnacentral:rRNA from 1 species